GUGUAUUUGAUUUAGAUUAAAGUUUUUUAUUUUUUAUUUCAAGUUAUCAUUUCGUGCGAAAUGUGCGAUUACAGCGCCAACGGUGGAAUACGCAAUACACUUCCUACGAUUCUCGAACUCGAAAUCGAUAUUUCUCAUGAUCGAUUUUAAACCGAGAAGUGGCGGUUAAAAAUGGCGGAGAGAAGCACACCUCGUCUGUGACAACAAGAAAAUAUUAUCUAGAAAGAUCAUCCAGAAAAAAGUAUCGAGAAGUUCUCAGGACGAGAAGUGUCGCGGAGAGUCAUUUGGCUGUCGAAUUUCAUAACAACGACACGUAUUACGUCACAUUAGGGUAUCCCUUGAUUCCUGAUGUUGGGAUAGAAUACAUAGAUGCUACAAUUAUUAAUGGACAAUCUGCUAUUCUUUCAUGGAAAUUUAAUAACAUUUUAUUUGUU